rnacentral:rRNA from 1 species
CCACUUUCGGUGGGGAUUAGUGGCGAACGGGUGAGUAACACGUGGGCAAUCUGCCCUGCACUCUGGGACAAGCCCUGGAAACGGGGUCUAAUACCGGAUAAUACUCCCGCACUCAUGUGUGGGGGUUAAAAGCUCCGGCGGUGCAGGAUGAGCCCGCGGCCUAUCAGCUUGUUGGUGAGGUAAUGGCUCACCAAGGCGACGACGGGUAGCCGGCCUGAGAGGGCGACCGGCCACACUGGGACUGAGACACGGCCCAGACUCCUACGGGAGGCAGCAGUGGGGAAUAUUGCACAAUGGGCGAAAGCCUGAUGCAGCGACGCCGCGUGAGGGAUGACGGCCUUCGGGUUGUAAACCUCUUUCAGCAGGGAAGAAGCGAAAGUGACGGUACCUGCAGAAGAAGCGCCGGCUAACUACGUGCCAGCAGCCGCGGUAAUACGUAGGGCGCAAGCGUUGUCCGGAAUUAUUGGGCGUAAAGAGCUCGUAGGCGGCUUGUCACGUCGGGUGUGAAAGCCCGGGGCUUAACCCCGGGUCUGCAUUCGAUACGGGCUAGCUAGAGUGUGGUAGGGGAGAUCGGAAUUCCUGGUGUAGCGGUGAAAUGCGCAGAUAUCAGGAGGAACACCGGUGGCGAAGGCGGAUCUCUGGGCCAUUACUGACGCUGAGGAGCGAAAGCGUGGGGAGCGAACAGGAUUAGAUACCCUGGUAGUCCACGCCGUAAACGGUGGGAACUAGGUGUUGGCGACAUUCCACGUCGUCGGUGCCGCAGCUAACGCAUUAAGUUCCCCGCCUGGGGAGUACGGCCGCAAGGCUAAAACUCAAAGGAAUUGACGGGGGNCCCGCACAAGCAGCGGAGCAUGUGGCUUAAUUCGACGCAACGCGAAGAACCUUACCAAGGCUUGACAUACACCGGAAAGCAUUAGAGAUAGUGCCCCCCUUGUGGUCGGUGUACAGGUGGUGCAUGGCUGUCGUCAGCUCGUGUCGUGAGAUGUUNGGGUUAAGUCCCGCAACGAGCGCAACCCUUGUCCUGUGUUGCCAGCGUGCCCUUCGGGGUGACGGGGACUCACAGGAGACCGCCGGGGUCAACUCGGAGGAAGGUGGGGACGACGUCAAGUCAUCAUGCCCCUUAUGUCUUGGGCUGCACACGUGCUACAAUGGCCGGUACAAUGAGCUGCGAUACCGUGAGGUGGAGCGAAUCUCAAAAAGCCGGUCUCAGUUCGGAUUGGGGUCUGCAACUCGACCCCAUGAAGUCGGAGUUGCUAGUAAUCGCAGAUCAGCA